UACGUAGGGUGCAAGCGUUAUCCGGAAUUACUGGGCGUAAAGCGCACGCAGGCGGCUCUGUAAGUCAGAUGUGAAAUCUCCGGGCUCAACCUGGAGCGUGCAUUUGAAACUGCAGUGCUAGAGUGUUAUAGGGGGGAGCGGAAUUCCUAGUGUAGCGGUGAAAUGCGUAGAUAUUAGGAGGAACACCAGUGGCGAAGGCGGCUGACUGGACAAUAACUGACGCUCAGGCGCGAAAGCGUGGGGAGCAAACAGG
rnacentral:rRNA from 1 species